rnacentral:lncRNA from 1 species
CUCCUGACCCCUAUCGCCUAAAAUUUUUCCGGAAUAUCAAAUACAACCUAAGGAACCAUAGUAUCCGCCUCGCCAUGAUCGUUCCACAUUUUUUGCGUUUUUCGGCCAUACAACUAGAAUUUCGCGCGAUUCCCAUAUUUUUGUGUGUUAUAGCCCACGCCUUCCGAGUGGUCCCGAGACCUCCGGACCCCUAUCGCCUAAUAUUUUUCCUGACUAUCAAAUAAGACCAAAGGAACCAUAGUCACCGCCCUGCCAAGAUCUUUCCAUAUUUUUUGCAUGUAACUGAAAAAGACCUAGAAUUUCGCGUGAUUCCCAUAUUUUCGUGUGCUAUACCCACGCAUUCCGAGUGGUUCCAAGAGCCGCAGACCCCGAUCGCCUAAAACUUUUCCAGGCAAUCAAAUACGACCUAAGGAACCAUAGUAUCCGCCCUGCCAUGAUCGUUGCUCAUUUUUUGCAUUUUUCGGCCAAACAACUAGAAUUCCGCGCGAUUCCCAUAUUUUUGUGUGUUAUAGCCCACACCUUCCGAGUGGUCCUGGGACCUCCGGACCCCUAUCGCCUAAAAUUUUUCCGGACUAUCAAAUACGACCUAAGGAACCAUAAU